rnacentral:rRNA from 1 species
GACGAACCGUGCGAACGUUAUUCGGAAUCACUGGGCGUAAAGGGUGCGUAGGCGGGUCUUUAAGUCAGGGGUGAAAUCCUGGAGCUCAACUCCAGAACUGCCUUUGAUACUGAAGAUCUUGAGUUCGGGAGAGGUGAGUGGAACUGCGAGUGUAGAGGUGAAAUUCGUAGAUAUUCGCAAGAACACCAGUGGCGAAGGCGGCUCACUGGCCCGAUACUGACGCUGAGGCACGAAAGCGUGGGGAGCAAACAGG